AGAGGGGGCAAGCGUUAUUCGGAAUUAUUGGGCGUAAAGGGCGCGUAGGCGGCCAAGUAAGUCUCGGGUGAAAUCCCUCAGCUCAACUGAGGAACUGCCUUGGAUACUGCAUGGCUUGAGGCCGGGAGAGGGUAGUGGAAUUCCCAGUGUAGCGGUGAAAUGCGUAGAUAUUGGGAGGAACACCGGUGGCGAAGGCGGCUACCUGGACCGGUUCUGACGCUGAUGCGCGAAAGCGUGGGGAGCAAACAGGAUUAGAUACCCUGGUAGUCCACGCUGUAAACGAUGGGUGCUCGGUGUCGCGGGUAUCGACCCCUGCGGUGCCUUAGUUAACACGUUAAGCACCCCGCCUGGGGAGUACGGUCGCAAGGCUG
rnacentral:rRNA from 1 species